GAUGGAAGCUUAACGAAAGGAAACCUGGAGAUCCGAGUUAUCGACACGCCACAGAAAGAAUCCUUUUUUCUUUCUUAAACAACAGAAUAUCGUUGGAAUAAUUGUAAACAGUGCGUUUAUGAAUUGUAAAUGACACUUUAUUGUCUACAGGCGGACGGGUGUACUCUCAGGAGGAGUUUAGUUUUGUUUUUCACAGUGAGAGAGGGGUGCACCGGUCCUGGAGGUACUGCAAUACCAGGUCGAUGCGUGGAGUGGACGGGGCAAGCCCCUUUUCCAUCUCCCAGUUCCAAAAAUCAAUUUAAUAUAUGGUCCCCGGGUAGGGGACGUAUCAGAUAUUAAACUGAUAAGAACAGAUACUACACUUGAUCUUAGCCAAAAGGCCGAGAAGCGAUGCCUACACACGCUCAGACCAAGAGGCGACGUUCCCAGACACGUCGCUCCACGUGGCGGUUUAACAGACAACGAAAAAAAAACAAAAGAAUGACCAAGCACCCUGUGUGCGUGUUUGUGUGUAUGUGAAAGCUGAAGAAAUAAACCGAGGUCGCUACAUCUCUUUGCUGCUGCCUGCUGGCAGUCUCACUAGGCCGUCUGCAUGUUUCACAAAUAGAGUUUGGAGCAGUGGAGGCUUCUAUAAGACUACAGGUGAAGCAGUGCUUCACCAAAAAAAUGUUAAAAAAUAAAUAAACCAACAAUACUAUCGAAUACUGCCAAAAUGGUGGUGCCCACGAUUUCCCCGCCCCAACAACGUCAACACCCGGAACUCUAUUGCAGCCAUUGCAGCCAAUGAGCUCGAGUUGAAAAAGAAAAUAGCUUACAGCACGUGGUUUCACUCAGGUAAAUUGUAUCCCCUUCACCGUUUGCUAGUUGAUAAUUAGACCUUUUUUAAGGUUUGUAUUAAGCUGUUUCGAUUUUGUAGAAAGAGAAAAUAUUUCGACCGUGUCAUAACACGGUCGUUGUGUAUAAAGGGAAGACGUAGAGGUUACGUUUUUAGCUGCUGGGUAGACUUCAGUCAACCUAUCGCCGUUUUGUCUGCGAGCAACUAUAUUACUCGUGGGUGGUCUUCUUUUAAUCGUGAUGGAACAUGGAGGAGCCUACACAUCAGUGCACCGUGUGCGACAAGACAUUCAGUGAAAAGUCCAACCUGGUGAGUCAUCUGAAGAUCCAUGCCAUCGCCAGGGAGACCUUUACCUGUGAUGUCUGCGGAAAGAGCUUGGCCACUAAACCAUCGCUGGUCAGCCAUCAACAGCUACACCAGUACCCCAACAUCAUUUUGUACCGGCAAGGAGAGGCCAGGCUGUACUGUACAGAGGCAGCAAGGUCUGUGGCAGAGGCCCGCAGCAGCACUGUUGUUGACCCUAAAUGGCUGGAUCUCAAGACAGCAGAGGCGGCUGCCAAGAGGUCGGGGGCUGAGCUGUGGAAAGGUCAGCUGGUCCUCACGUUCGGGUAGUACGCCGGUCAGACCUUCAGGUGGCUUGUGGAGAAUGAUGUCGGCUGGCUGGUGUGGCUGCUGCUCCAGUACUGCCAGCAGGGAGAGCAGAACGAGCUGCUGAAGUGGCAGAAGGAGCGACUGCUCCUUCGGCCACAAGGUGACUCCUCACCUGAAAGUGCUGUCGGACGCACCGUUCCCGGAGGCUCCUGCGCUGCCAACAUCCCUCCCUCCGCCAGACCGGCCUCAGGUCCAGUACCGGCUCAUCCAUCACGAGGCUGGAAAGAGACGUGGUGAGAAGCGGAGGUAAGUUGUCAUAAGCACUUUGUUUCACCUGUUGGCUGUGGAAAGCAAAUAGCACACACGUCAUAUCAAUACUGAUCACAUGUGUAUUUUAUGUUUCCAGAUUAUUUGUUGCUGAGCCACAGCCUGUGACUCCCGCGAACCGACCCGUUCAGCCCACUGGGUUGUCGUCCUCCACCCGGCCGAAGCCUGCUGCGCUCACCCCCAUUCUGCCGAGGCCUUCUGCGCCCACCCACCUCCAGCCGAGGCCACCCGCUGCGUUGACCUACGGCCCACCCCCUGUGUCGGCAGCACCCAUACUGCAGGUCUUCCCCGCACAGCCACAGGCCCCCUCCGUCCUGUUUCGUGGGACAUCCUGCAGCCAGUGCUUUGUCCCUCCUGCACCAACAGUGAAGGCAUUCAUGCCUAACAAGUCCUCAAGGCCAUGUGGGGCUUGCCACAUGCCAAACUGUGGUGGACAGUGGAAGAGGUACAACCCUUUCAAGGACAAAGUGGCUGGAAGCAUGCAGAAAAUGUUUUCCUACUGUCCAUCCACUAGGAAGUCCACUACCCCUGGCUUCGACAAUGUGGUGUAUGACAACUUUGAACUCUUUAAGAGUGUCGUGGAUGCAGAGUUGGAAAGGAGGACUGUGUGUGUGUGUGUGUGUGUGUGUGUGUGUGUGUGUGUGUGUGUGUGUGUGUGUGUGUGUGUGUGUGUGUG